UACGUAGGGUGCGAGCGUUGUCCGGAAUUAUUGGGCGUAAAGAGCUCGUGGGCGGUCUGUCGCGUCGAUCGUGAAAACUUGGGGCUUAACCCUGAGCUUGCGGUCGAUACGGGCAUGACUGGAGUUCGGCAGGGGAGACUGGAAUUCCUGGUGUAGCGGUGAAAUGCGCAGAUAUCAGGAGGAACACCGGUGGCGAAGGCGGGUCUCUGGGCCGAUACUGACGCUGAGGAGCGAGAGCGUGGGGAGCGAACAGG
rnacentral:rRNA from 1 species